rnacentral:rRNA from 1 species
AUUGAACGCUGGCGGCAUGCCUUACACAUGCAAGUCGAACGGUAACGGGUCCUUCGGGAUGCCGACGAGUGGCGAACGGGUGAGUAAUAUAUCGGAACGUGCCCAGUAGUGGGGGAUAACUGCUCGAAAGAGCAGCUAAUACCGCAUACGACCUGAGGGUGAAAGGGGGGGAUCGCAAGACCUCUCGCUAUUGGAGCGGCCGAUAUCAGAUUAGCUAGUUGGUGGGGUAAAGGCCUACCAAGGCAACGAUCUGUAGUUGGUCUGAGAGGACGACCAGCCACACUGGGACUGAGACACGGCCUAGACUCCUACGGGAGGCAGCAGUGGGGAAUUUUGGACAAUGGGCGCAAGCCUGAUCCAGCAAUGCCGCGUGCAGGAAGAAGGCCUUCGGGUUGUAAACUGCUUUUGUCAGGGAAGAAAUCUUCUGGGCUAGUACCCCGGGAGGAUGACGGUACCUGAAGAAUAAGCACCGGCUAACUACGUGCCAGCAGCCGCGGUAAUACGUAGGGUGCGAGCGUUAAUCGGAAUUACUGGGCGUAAAGCGUGCGCAGGCGGCUUUGCAAGACAGAUGUGAAAUCCCCGGGCUCAACCUGGGAACUGCAUUUGUGACUGCAAGGCUAGAGUACGGCAGAGGGGGAUGGAAUUCCGCGUGUAGCAGUGAAAUGCGUAGAUAUGCGGAGGAACACCAAUGGCGAAGGCAAUCCCCUGGACCUGUACUGACGCUCAUGCACGAAAGCGUGGGGAGCAAGCAGGAUUAGAUACCCUGGUAGUCCACGCCCUAAACGAUGUCAACUGGUUGUUGGACGGCUUGCUGUUCAGUAACGAAGCUAACGCGUGAAGUUGACCGCCUGGGGAGUACGGCCGCAAGGUUGAAACUCAAAGGAAUUGACGGGGACCCGCACAAGCGGUGGAUGAUGUGGUUUAAUUCGAUGCAACGCGAAAAACCUUACCUACCCUUGACAUGUCAAGAAUUCUGCAGAGAUGUGGAAGUGCUCGAAAGAGAACUUGAACACAGGUGCUGCAUGGCCGUCGUCAGCUCGUGUCGUGAGAUGUUGGGUUAAGUCCCGCAACGAGCGCAACCCUUGUCAUUAGUUGCUACGCAAGAGCACUCUAAUGAGACUGCCGGUGACAAACCGGAGGAAGGUGGGGAUGACGUCAGGUCCUCAUGGCCCUUAUGGGUAGGGCUACACACGUCAUACAAUGGCCGGUACAGAGGGCUGCCAACCCGCGAGGGGGAGCCAGUCCCAGAAAACCGGUCGUAGUCCGGAUCGUAGUCUGCAACUCGACUGCGUGAAGUCGGAAUCGCUAGUAAUCGCGGAUCAGCUUGCCGCGGUGUAUACGUUCCCGGGUCU